UGAAAUUUUAGAAAUAUGAAGACUUUAGGUUAUAUUAAUUAGUUUAAUGUAACCAGUGUCAUUUUGAAUCCAAGCAAUAACAACAAAAUAUACAGAAUUUAGCAUUUUUUGAAAUGCUUCCGUCUGCUUAUUUCUGUUAGGAAACUUUUUUUCUUCUUGAAGGUUUAUAGUUUCAAGUAUUCGCUUUACCUGAACUUUAAGAAUUUAAUUUUAAAUUUAUUUCAACUAAUUCAAUCAAAUAUUAUGUUAAAAAUUGUUAAUAAAGUCAAUUACAAAUUUUUACUUAGUUUAUUUCUGUUCUAAAAAAAUAAAAUGAAAAUCUAGUUUUUUGUUGACUGCCACUGCAACCCAACUCGUUUUCAUCGCAUUUUUUGGAAGUGGCAUACAGUAAAUUUUGUUCAGGCUUAGGGUGCCUUUUUUUCUCCAAAUUAAAAACCUUUUAUUCAAAUUAAAAAAUGGCAAAACGAACCAAGAAGGUUGGAGUAGUUGGUAAAUAUGGCACACGUUAUGGUGCAUCCCUAAGAAAAAUGGU